GCGGAAUCGCCUUGAGUUUGAUAUGGCUCAGAACGAACGCUGGCGGCAUGCCUAACACAUGCAAGUCGAACGAGACCUUCGGGUCUAGUGGCGCACGGGUGCGUAACGCGUGGGAAUCUGCCCUCUGGUACGGAAUAACUCAGGGAAACUUGAGCUAAUACCGUAUAAUGACUUCGGUCCAAAGAUUUAUCGCCUGAGGAUGAGCCCGCGUCGGAUUAGCUAGUUGGUGAGGUAAAAGCUCACCAAGGCGACGAUCCGUAGCUGGUCUGAGAGGAUGAUCAGCCACACUGGGACUGAGACACGGCCCAGACUCCUACGGGAGGCAGCAGUGGGGAAUAUUGGACAAUGGGGGAAACCCUGAUCCAGCAAUGCCGCGUGAGUGAUGAAGGCCUUAGGGUUGUAAAGCUCUUUUACCCGGGAUGAUAAUGACAGUACCGGGAGAAUAAGCCCCGGCUAACUCCGUGCCAGCAGCCGCGGUAAUACGGAGGGGGCUAGCGUUGUUCGGAAUUACUGGGCGUAAAGCGCACGUAGGCGGCUUUGUAAGUUAGAGGUGAAAGCCCGGAGCUCAACUCCGGAAUUGCCUUUAAGACUGCAUCGCUAGAAUUGUGGAGAGGUAAGUGGAAUUCCGAGUGUAGAGGUGAAAUUCGUAGAUAUUCGGAAGAACACCAGUGGCGAAGGCGACUUACUGGACACAUAUUGACGCUGAGGUGCGAAAGCGUGNGGAGCAAACAGGAUUAGAUACCCUGGUAGUCCACGCCGUAAACGAUGAUU
rnacentral:rRNA from 1 species